UAGAACUGACUCUACGCAACUCCCUCUCUCGUUCAUGCGUGUCGCCCGCGCCGCCCUCUUCCUCUGCGACCACAGCCGCCGCCGCUCGGGACUGGCCGUCCCCGCCCCCCCGCCCCGCAUCCUCGCGCCCACCGUGAAGGCAACCGCCUCCUCUCGCCAUCUCAAUUCCUUGGCAUCCUCAACGCCAGGGUCUUCUCCGCCUAGGUCGCCCCCAGGAGCCAGGGCAGCUGCAGCACAAGGGCAGGGCAUGUGUCGGCGGUGAAAGAGGUGUGUCGGGCGAGGAUAAGAGGAGGCGACGACGAGCGAGGCGAAGGAGCUGAAGCAUACUUCAACUGAUUGUUUCAGAUUCAGAGGGCACCAAGAUCUAACGGAGCUGAAUUUGGAGGAGAUUAGUGUACCUCAAUCUUACUUACGUGCAACUUAAUUACAAGGGAACACCGCUAUGUGGCUAGGAGAGGUAGCAGCAUUGCCUGCGCCCUCCUCCAUGACGGCUGCCGCCUCGUCCCGGACUCCGGCUUCCCUCCACGCGCCUCUACCGUGUGCCGCCGCAGCACCCAACUCCGUUGUCCAUCGUCGUUUGUGCGCCUCCCCGCUCGAAUCCGCCGUCUGUCUGCCGCCGCUCGUAGACGAAGAUUUUUCAGGAUCAUGCUGCCGUAAGAACCCAUCAGCACUAGAAGGAUGAGCAGCAAUUGCCUGUCCUUGGUAUUCUUGAGCAAGUGCAAGGAGCACCCUGACGAGAGGAUCUAGCAGUUCGUUGCUGUUGUUGAAAAGGGAACGCCGGAAUGGCGGUCGCCGUCGUCGCAUUGCCCGCCUGGCUUCGCCCUGAUGGUUUGUAGGGAAGCGAGCUGGCUCCUUUGGAUUCAGAUAUAGAGUCUAGCUUUUGACACCUUCUGCUAUUUUUUCUCAUAUCUUUUUGAUUCAGAACUUUUCAAUAAGUGUGUGCUGCGACCUGCUCAGAUGAACGGAAAAGUUCCAGGUUGUUUCGUAAGAAAAUUAUUUGAUCUUUAUUUUCUCAAAUGCACGCAGUUGUUGUAGACCUCGUGCUAAGCUACAGGUUGUUCGUCUAAAAGCCAAAAAGGACAUGUUGAUGAGAACAUGUUUGAUUUUUUUAUGGAUUCAGUUCUAUGUGCAGUUGAUGAGAACAA